GAAARGAUAAGCUAAAAUAAGCUUAUGGGCUCAUACCCCGUCUAUGAAGAAUCCUUCUCCUUUCA
rnacentral:tRNA from 1 species